AGUCGAAGAGAUGGAUCGAGAAGGUUAGGAGUUUUGUACGAGCUUGGAAGACUAACGUAAGACGGAUCAGAGAUAUCAAUGAAUUUGUUUCGGAGAAGACGGCGAAACGAGCACGAAACGAACAAUCGUUCCAAGAGAAGGAAACAGUUUGCUUGGAGAAUUCAAGUUGAUGUAUUCGCUCGGUGCAUAUACGUAGAGAGGAAAUAACAAUCGACCAACCUGCGUAUCAAAUAUUGCAAGACAGCGGCAAGCCCUGGAUCAUGUUCGAUGUCCAUAGUCCGCGAAUUAAUGCCUCCCAUGCAGCGAACAAACGAAUCUUAUUUACUGUCUAAAAUCAAACAAGGAAAACGUCCGAGGGUUGAAUGGCGUAGCGUAGCGAGACUACGACUAUGACAGUUGAAACAGAGGCGAUGACAGAAACGAAGACUGCGCCAGAGAAGUUGACGUACAGGCAGGCAAGGGGAGAGGAACCUGAACGAAGAUACGUAAAUCUUCCUUUUAUGGCACGUGGAAAAAGUUCUCAUCGAGAAAAUUGUAACAGAUCGAAGGUGCGAUUGUAGCGAUAGUGCGGCGUUUAUAAUAAACACGUCCACGAGAGAGCGAGAGCGAGAAGGAGAAAAUGAGCGUUGACGUUGCGGUGGAGGGGAUGUCUAUGGGAACUGGGAAGGGAUAGGAUAGCGACGGUGACUGAAUGUGUGACGUGACAUUCCGUUUGUGUGGACGAGGAGCGCAUAGAAUGGAUGUGUUAUCGUUGUUGCGUUGAAUCUCGAAAUUGGAAAAAUGGAAAAGUAAAUGAAAACGCCACGUAUAGGUAUAAUAAUAAAAGCAAACGUAAAGCAAUGUUUAUUGCUUUUUGCAACCGAAUUUGUUGAUUAUUUAUUUUCUAAUAAAUGAUAGGGAUAAUCGA